rnacentral:snRNA from 11 species
AGUGCCGAUCACAGUCACGGAGGUGUCGCCACGAGCGGUGCCACGGUUCGGCGUCAGCUCGUAAAUGACCGGCGUGCGGUCCAGGCUGUGAAUCAUCAGCAUGGGAACCCACAGAAAGCCAC